rnacentral:rRNA from 1 species
CCUGGUUGAUCCUGCCAGUAGCAUAUGCUUGUCUCAAAGAUUAAGCCAUGCACGUGUAAGUACACACAGCCGGUACAAACUGCUGAUUCAAUCAGUUUUCGUUCCUUUGAUUACUCCAUCUUAUACGUGGAUAAUUCUAGAGCUAAUACAUACUGACAAGCGCUGACCUCAUGAAAUGUGAGCAUUUAUCAUACAAAGAACAGUCAGGGCUCAUCAUUUUGGUGACCAUGGUUAACAGGGAAUCAGAGUUUUAUUCUAGAGAAGGAGCCUGAGAAACAGCUACUACAUCCAAUAAGGUAGCAGGCCUGCAAAUUUCCCACUUCUGUUUAGGGGAGGUAGUGAUGAAAAAUAACAAUAAAGGUCUCUUUCAAGGCCCUGUAAUUGGAAUGAGUACACUUUAAAUCUUUUAAUGAGGAUCCAUCAGAGGGCAAGCCUGGUGCCAGCACUCACAGUAGUUCCAGGAUCCAGUUCCAUGUCUUAAAAUCGCUGCAAAAAUGGCAGUGAACACAAAAUAUAGCAGCAAAAUGCUGUGUGUUUGCCGCCACAAUCAUAUAAAGGAAUGCGGGGGACACCCGCAACCCCUGCUCCCUUAAAUGGUAUAAUGGGUGCACCUUUACCGGGUCAAACCACAGCUUUUUGCCACGAUUUGUUUUACUCGUGACAUUUUUGCCACAAUUUUAUUACCUGAUACUCCAAGAUCCUAUGUUAAAGUUGCUGCAGGUAAAAUGUUUGUAGUUGGAUCUUGGGAUAAAGAUGACCGUCUGGUGCGAGGCAAGCUACCAUCUGUCCCAGCUCCUGCCUCUCAGCGCCCCCUGGAUGCUCUUAGCUGAGUGUAACUGGGCCUGAAAUCUUUACUUUGAAAAUAUUUGAGUGUUCAAAGCAGGACAGUCACCUGAAUACUUUCAUUAGAAAGACUGUUCUAUCAUGUGGGUUUCCAGAACUGGGGCCACAUUAAAAAUACAGUCGAGGGCAUUCAUAUUGUUACUCUUAGGUGACAUUCUUGGACUGGUGCAAGACAUACUAAAGUGAAAGCAAUUGCCAAGAAUGUUUUCAUUAAUCAAGAAUGAAAGUCAGAGGUUCGAAGACGAUCAGGUACAGUCAUAGUUAAAGCCACAAAUGAUGCAAUGAACAGGCAACUUUAUUCCCAUAACCCACCAAGCAGCUCUAGGGAAACCAAUGUCUUUGGGUUUUGGGGGCGCCAUGGUUGCAAAGUUGAAACCUAAACUAAUAGAUGUAAGGCCAUAACCAGGAGUUAAGCGUGUGGCUUAAUUUGACUGAAUAUGAGAAACUUCCAGACACAGAAAAGAAUGACAGCCUGAUCGCUAUUUCACGCUUCUCUCUGUGAUGGUGCCUGGCUUUUCUCAGUUAGUGGAGUGAUUUAUCUGGUUAAUUCCAAUAACAAACAAGAUACCUCUAUUUUAUCUUGUUAUGCGUCCCCCAGCAGUCAGCAUUUAACUUCUUAGAGGGGCAAGUGGUGUUCAGCUACACAAGAUCGAGCAACAACCGGUCUGUGAUGCAUUUAGAGGCUGCAUGUGUGGUUCACUGAGCGGAUCAGCGUGUGUCUACCCUUUGCUGACAGAUGAGGUUAACCCACUUAACACCGCUCACGAUGGGUAUUGGGGAUUACAAUUAUUUCCAAUAAACGAGGAAUUACCAUUACGUGCGGGACAUACAUUUGCAUUAAGUUCCUGCCCUUUGAGCACAUACCUCGUCGCUACUACUGAUUGGAUGGGUUAGUGAGGCCCUCAGAUCAGGCCCGCCAGGGUCAGCAACUGCCCUGGUGGAGUGCCGAGAAGAUGAACAAACUUGACCAUCUAGAAGAAGUGAAAGUCAUAACAAGGUUUACGUAGCUGAACCUGCAGAAU